rnacentral:rRNA from 1 species
UACGUAGGGCGCAAGCGUUGUCCGGAAUUAUUGGGCGUAAAGAGCUCGUAGGCGGUCUGUCGCGUCUGCCGUGAAAACCCGAGGCUUAACCUCGGGCUGGCGGUGGAUACGGGCAGACUAGAGGUAGGUAGGGGAGAAUGGAAUUCCCGGUGUAGCGGUGAAAUGCGCAGAUAUCGGGGGGAACACCGGUGGCGAAGGCGGGUCUCUGGGCCGAUACUGACGCUGAGGAGCGAAAGCGUGGGGAGCAAACAGG